CCGGUGCGAGCCCGGUGCGAGCCCGGUGCGAGCCCGUCCCCGGUGUGAGCCCGUCCCUGGUGCGAGCCUGUCCCCGGUGUGAGCCUGUCCCCGGUGUGAGCCUGAUGUGAGCCCGUCCCCGGUGUGAGCCCGUCCCCGGUGUGAGCCCUCCCGGCCCGGGGAUCCGGCCCCGGGGAUCCCAGCGCCGGUGCCCGCCGCAGUCUCGCCGCUCGGGAUGGCCUGUGUGAAGAGGCUGGGCGGGCACCCGAGAGGAACGGGAGACACCGCUGCGUUCCAGGUGCUGCUUUUAAAGUCCGGGCAAAGUGAACAGAGAGCAUUGCAGGCGGGUGAAUAAAAUAAAAGCGUCCGCUGGGUGCUCCUGGAAAAGUGCUCGACUCCCUUCCUUAAAAAAUUCAUCACAUUCGACUCUCGCCAGCUCUUGGCCCAAAGGGAGCAGCGGAAUUGCAAACCGGGAGAAGCAGCAGGCUUGAACUGAAUUGGCCUUUGGGUCUCAGUUUACAGGGAUAUCGGAACUCACAGCAAUGAAAAAAUGAACGUGGAUAAUAAAGGGGCGCAAAGCCCUGUAGUGAGGGGUUGCUGGGAGGGCAGGAUGCGAGUCCCUUGACAGGAGGAGCUGGCUGGGCUGAGCUGGGCCGGGCUGGGCUGAGCUGGGCUGGGCUGGGGCGGCCGCAGUGCCGGGGAACAGGCGGACACCGCCGGCAGCGACGCGCUCGGUCCCUGUUGCAGCUGUCGCUGCUCAGCCGGGUGGUGUCCCAAACUUCUUCCCUGCGAGCUUUUCCGCACAGGCACAGAUGUCCUGUGGCUACUGCCUCUCGGGGUUUGAUUCGAAGUGUCCCGUUUUCCUAGCCAGUUCCAGCAUUAGUGAAUGGAACAAAAAUGAGUGGUUUGUAUAAUAGUGUUGUUAUUAAAAAUUGUAUUUUAAAAUACCCACUUGGAGAGUGAAUGCAUCACUGAGUACACCAAAUUGCCUGACAAGUUACUUGCAGCAGACUGUUACAGAGGGGUGUGUGUCAAUAGGGCAAAAAGUUCGUUUAAUCCUAGACAUUGAAAUAAAAUUAAUUCUCUGUGAGAUUUCUGUAAUACCAGUUUCUCCCAAUCAAAAGAGCAUGUUCCUGGAUGCUGAUGGAUUAACUUCUACCUUGAUCUUACAGGGGUUUGUACAGCAUAUUUUAUAUGAACAUAAUAAAUUCAAACUGAUUUUUUUAAAGAAUCCAGCAAUAGAGUGUAGACAUAGACAUGGAUGUUCUUCAGUACCUAUGGCCUUCCAGGGAGCCAAAUUUCUGGCUUGCAUCAUCCCUUUAAAUCCGUUGUCACGGCUCACAGGCUUCAAUUCUUCACAAAACUGUGUGGAAAUCGCCCCGCUGCUGCCACGUCCUCCUGGCGAUGAUGCACGGGCAGCUUGCAGCUGUUUUCUCCGCAGUCCCAAGCGGCGAAGGCCGCUCGGCGAGGCAGCCGGGGGGGUUUGCUGUGGAUUCCCGUUCCGUGGAUUCCCGUGCUGUGGAUUCCCGUUCCACGGAAUCCCGCGGACUCGCCGCUCCCCCCGCGCCGCGCCGACCGCGGGGCCCCAGCGCCCUCUCGCGGCAGCUCCGCGCCCUGCACCGCCCCGCGCCCGCGCCUGCGCCCUGCGGCUCCGCGGCUGGAAAAACCACCGCUGGAAAAACUACCGCUGGAAAAACCCACCUCUGCGGCGGCAGCAGGAGAAGCUGCGACUGCUUCACCUGGCGUGAGAGGUGCUGCUUAAAUAUACUUCUGAUUCCGCUUGUAUUUGACUUUUGAAUCAUGACUGGGUGUUUGGUUUUGUCUUUUCAGGAGCAAAGUGUUUUGUUAAAUAGAAAAAGGAUUAAUGCAAAUGAGCAGUUACGUAUAUUGACUCAUCUGUGCUGUGCCACCGAAGGCAGGUAAAUAAGCAGUUUGUUCAUUUCAAAGCACACGGCUCUAUUGUUGCCCAGAGUGCUGCUUAACUCUUUAAAGGCUUCCAAGCAGGGUGACCUCAUCCAAAUUGUCUGCUGGUUCCAGCUUCCAAAUUGUGCAAAGGAAUUACUCCACAAAUGUCCAGCUAGCUCAAGUUAAGUCCACAGCAUGAAUUUUUCUUGUAACUGAGCAGUAUACAUAUAUUUGCAGCACCCAGUUAUGGUCUGCGCCAUGACUUAAUGGCUCAUGCUUAAUUUUCAAGUCUCACGUAUCUAGUCUUCCACACAGUUGCACUGAAAGCAAAGUGCCUGAUGUUUCAUCUCUCACCUUGCAAGACAGACUUCAGCAAAGGCUAUGUAACUCCUUGACCAAGGCUUUCAAAUGCUUUAUAAGUCUUUUUCCCAGAAGCUUUAUAUCAUGAGACUCAGCCCUGUGACCAACUCAGGCUGAGCUCACACCCCAUUUCACUGUCCUGGGGUGCACUCCAGCAACAUCCUCUGUGGGGAACAUCUCAGUCAAUGUGGCUAUUACACAUCUGUAAUUAGUGAAUAUAUCCAGCUCAUGUAUUUUAGGGCUGAAUUUUAACUGACAUUGUAGCUUUUAUAUUUUCUGCAUGAAUCUGCAUGAUAUAAACUGUAGUUCUUUAUGCAAGCUGAAUCUUCACUUCUAGUUAUCUGUUCUAGUGCAAAAUGUGCACUCUCUAAGCAUACUGUUAGUUCUGCUGCACCACAUACAUCUGUAUGAUUGAGGAAGAAAGCAUGAAGUAGGACAAAGAAGACAUCACUUGUUUGUUUUUAUUGCUUGUGCGGAUGGUUUUGAGAUUAAAACUCAGAUUUUGGGUUUUUGGGUUUUGUUUGGGUUCUUUUGGGGUUUUUUGUUUGUUUGGUUGGUUGGUUUUGUGUUUGUUUGUUUGGUUGGUUUGGUUUGUUGGGGUUUUUUUUAAUCCAGGUGGCAUUUUUUUGGUUGAGAAUAAAUUCCUGUCAAUUACUGGUGAUUGUUUCCAGAUUAUAUUCCCCCCCUCCCACCCCCCGCUCUUCUUCUAAGCAGAUUUUCUAAAGGGCAUGUCUGUAACUCAGAUACGUUGUGUUCAGGUGUAAAUCUGUACCAAAAGCAUGAAAGCUCAGUGGGGAAGGCAAUCUUUCUCCUUUCUGUCAAUAAGUAGGCAAGUAAGUACAUUGCCUGCUGCGGCAUAACAUGCUGAGGGAGCCACGUGUCCCCUAAUGGCACACCAAGUCCUGCGUGCUGGCUUCUAAUGCCAGCAUCAGGCAUCCUGCAGACCUCAUGCAGGCAAAGCUUCUCAGCAAAGUGAGGAAGGCAAGAGGCAGUGCAACAUGAGCAGGUCACAGGCUAGUGUGGAAAAGCUCUGGGUAGAUGUGAGAGAAUGGGCAGAAAUGGUAUCUGUCCCCCUAAGAGAAGAGCUUCUGGCACAUUUAGGAACCAGACCUUGCUGUGUGUCACCACAGGUCCAUUGCUUUUCAGCCGUUCCUGGAGGAAUGCAGAGUUUAACUCUCAGAGCCAGGAUCAGCACCCUCAGCAGGCAAUCCAGACUGAUCUGCCUAGAAACUGGAAUGCCAAGGCACAGCAGGAGAAGGUGAAAUGACCUGUGUGUUUUCAUACAGAUGCUUAUGCGAAGUACAGUGCACAUGAAAGCUCACCAGCCAAAAAAAAUGCUUUCAUGACGAAAUAGCUGUAUAGGAUCCACUGGCAUUGUUCUUCCAGAGAAUAAGAGAGGUCAGUUAGAAGCUGUUUGUUUUGAUUUUUUCCAGUUCUUAUAGCAAGACUGUAAAAUUCAAACUUUAAUAGGACUCAGGAAAUAUGGGUUGCCUGAGUAAAAUUAUACCACUACAGUCAGUACAUUAAAGUGACCUUUUGUCUCCAGCUGAGUUCAAAUUAAAUAAAAACAAGUGCCUCAUCCUUAGGCAAGAAUUUUUCGACCUACAGUGCCUCAUCUCAGUUGAAGAACUCUUCUGUAGCUUAAUGAAAUAAAUGAGCUGACCAUAUAACUCUUAUGGAUACUCACGAUGUUACAUGUCUACAUCACCAAUGAUGCCUUUGGAAACAGUUCUCUCUGCAGAGAGACCAAACUUGUUACCCUCUGGUUCCCUUUGUUCUCAGUUUUUACUGACUGCAGACACCUUGCUGUCUUGGUCUACCAGGAAAACUAGUAAAAAUUGCUUGUCCAAUGCCAGGAUAGCAGGGAAUUCAGUCUCUCUAUCUGGAGUUUAAAAAAUAUCCUGAACAGUGGGAAGUUAUUUGUUUUUAGGCUCUCCAGUGAAUGUACUUCAUUCCACUAUUUUCAGGAUGCUCAGACUCUGGAAAAGGCUGCCCACAGAAACUGUGGAGUCUCCAUCCUUGGGCAUAUUCAAAACCCAACUGGACACUGUCCUGAGCAACCUGCUGUAGUUGAUCCUGCUCUGAGCAGGGCAGGGUGGAGUAGAUAACCCCUCCUCACCUCAUCCAUUCUUUGAUUCUGCAGUUCAUUUGUCUGUGAUGCCUCAGCAGAUCUGAAAAGUGAUGUUUGGAGGGUCUCUCUUGCAGGUCUACUCCUGUUUCACACUCCAGCACUGUCAGCCCACAUUCCACCAGGGAGUUUGGCACACUCAGUUCUGAAGUGCUCGCACAGGAUGAGUCUUUUGCAAUAGGAACAAGGAAACUUCUGAAGUAAGCAUGUGAUUUAUUAAUGAUUUGUGUAAUUUCCACUUUAUUGGCAGUAGAUUUCUUUAAAAAGCAAUGAUGUCAUAUGGUUCUCCAUGUAGAUUUAUUUGCUGUAUUAAGAUACAUUAACCUAUUCCUUUAAUUACUGUGGUCUUCAUGGUGGUCUUUGAAGUGUGGUAGUCAUUUCUCUCUGUAGGGGAAACUGUGACCUGAGGAAGCUGAGGCAGCAACAAUAUUAGAAGAAACUGCUCUGAGGGAAGGUGGUUGAUGCUGGCAAUUACUAUCCUGAGAAAAUUAGCUGUAGCUGGAGAUCACCCCUGUGGUAAAAUAUGCUUCAUCUUUGCUCUGUGCCAUGAACACCUUCCCAAGUCCUGUGAGCCAAUGCUGACACUACUGACACAGAGAUAGAAGUGGAAGAGAUGAUUCUUGGAUGUGGAUUCUUCAUUCUCUUGGAUGUGUCAGUGAAGGAUAAAGUGAGUUACUGAAAUCUCUGCCCAGAGUUCCACAAGGAUGUAGACAUCUACAGAUAUUACUUUUAUGUGCUUCUUCAUGGACACGAUUGGCUUACAGCAAAACAUCCUUGAUUUUUGGGUUCUGGAAAUCAAAGUGUUCUGCCUCACAGUACCUAUUAUUCCAGUGACUGCCAAGAUAGAACUAAGGUAUUAAGAAUAAAUUACUCCAGGCAAGGAGACAAUUAACACUACAGAAGGAAAAGCUUAGGAUGCCAGCAUUGGGGCAUAUGCUUACCUGGGCUGUUCUACCAAGACAAAAGAAGGUGAUGAUAGAGGCCUGGAGAUCAUUUACCAAGUGCAUUACGUGAGGAAAGGAGGACAAAAAAAACCACUACAGGCACUGCCAAAUUUUGUGAGAAGGGAACAUUAUUUUGUGGUUGGAUUUCAUCAUAUAGAAAGGUAAGCAGAUAUCUUUGUUGCUGUUGUGUUUGUGUUUAUAUGUUAUAAGAGGAAAACAUCACUUAUCUGCAAAGCAUCACACUUGAAAACUGGAUUUAUUUCUUUCUCCACCUCCAAUACAGGCUGAAGAGAGCAAUUCUAAGUUUGAGAUGUUGAACCAGUCCUGAGAAAUGGAAACGAGCAAGCUACCAUUCUCCAUGGAAGGUUUUUGUUCAAGGGAGUUACACAGAGGCUAGGACAGAAAAACCAGCACUACUGGGACAAGCACAAGAACUUGUAUUUUAGUGAAUCUAAUCCCAGGUUCCUGGUAGUAAGACUCAGUGGCAAACAACUGUGCUGACAAAGUUUCCUUCCAUACACUUCCUUGAAGGGUGUCCUUAGGGAAGUGUGUCACACACAAGUAUCCAAUAGUCUGCUGUCUAAUAGGAGUGGGUUUCUGACUGGCAGAGCAGGUCUGCCUUCCUCUAGGAUUCAUUUGUAAAGCUGGCCCAAGCUUGGUUCCAUAUAUGCAUCAGGAAUGCAAUGUAUAGCAUAAAGUACGAUGGAGGCAGUGCUAUCUCCACCUCUUCUUCAGGCACAGGUGAAUAAACUGGGGUAAACCAGCCUAGGAUCUGGGGUAGGAUAGUCCAGUUCAUUAUUGAAUUCCUACCUUAAAAGUAAAGAAAAAGACUAGACUUCUAUUUCUACACCUCUUUGUUCUUAUCAUCUGAAUGUAUGGUAAAUUUUUCUGUCUUUCUGUAGCACUUGCAGGAAGAGGACAUAAAGAAGAGGGAAUGCCAGCAACCAUGCUGUCAACUUUGCAAGUCAUUAACAAUCUGGAAAGAGACUGAGAAGUACCGUCAACCUAAGCAGAACAUUUCAGAGAGGCACAGAGAUGGACCAAAAUGUAAAGAUUUUGGGUGCAAAUCCCCAUUCCUCCCUUCUGAGAAGCAGUGAGUCCUGGCAGCCCAAAGAAUUGAGUUAUGAAGUGAGAUUAAAGGCACAAGGCUGGAAGCAGGCAAGUAAUGUGCAGGGUUCGAAGACACAUGCUGAAACACAGAAAUGGACAGAGAAAUAUUCUAAGGAAAACCCCUUCUGCUCCUGAAGUAAAGGUACCGCUCUGAGUGCAACUGUCAUGAACCAGGAGAACAUGGAAGUCUGUCACUUUGUUUUGCUGCCUUCCUUGAUGCUGGUGUCAUCACUCUGGCAGCCUGGUUAAAGUUUCCCAGGAGGAAACAAAAUGAGAAAUUUUGUUUCCUCCUGGGAAAAGACAAAGACAAAAUUUCUAAACAAAGACAAACUUCUAAACUGAUUAUGCACCUGGAGCUGUACACUUUGCAAAUGAGCUUUUCCAGGUGAGAGACCUACCAAAAUACACCAUAAGAUUUUUUUCUUACCCACUCUUCCUACCAUUAUUUGUUUAUUGAUGAUAUGAUGGGUAGAAAUUUUGGGGCUGGCCAAGUAUUCAGUAUUGGAUGAAUUGCUGCUUUCCCUCUGCGUCACUUUUUGGUAGCAGUUUGAAGUCCAGAAUCACACUGUGCCAUAACAACAAAUGCUUCAAAGAUGACAUUUCCAAAAAGUACCUUUCUUCCAAAAAUUUCUGAGUGCUUUUCAACAUGAAUUACCAGCCCAUCUCUUGGUGAUAAGUAGGUGUUAUUUCCAUCUUCAAACUGAGAAACUUAAACUGCUGCCUUAAGUAACUGUGAAUCAUCUAUUUCCUGGAGCUUUCUUUUUCUUGUUUUCCAUGCCCUUUCCCUUUUGUCUCCUAGGCCAUUCUUAACCUCAAUUUCUUCUCCCUUCUGUCUAUAAUAAUCCCCUCGAUGCCACCUGAUGUUGUACCCAAACUUUAAAACUCUCCUACCGCCGUCCCUGCAGGCGACUUGGGCGUGCCCGUGUGCUGUGGGAAGUGCUCUCCUGCUUCAGGUAGUAGCAUCAAUUGAGCCUUUCAAAGAGCUGUAUUUAUGUAGAUAGGUUUCAAUUGUUAUUUCCAUGCAGUAUGUGCAUGUGUGGGUGGGGAGGAUUAGUCUGCAGAUAAGUUAAAGAGCACAGGUGUCUCAGGUGCCUCCGAGGUGGAGCGCUGAACUGGAGAGAGGCACUUUUGCAAAGAUUCUGAGCACUUACUGCUCCCCCUGCUCGGAAAGUUCGGGCCACUUGGGUGAAUCAGAGCUCAGCUGAUGCUUUGUAAGACACUGGGCAGCAUAUUGGCUGAUGUCUGUUUUCAGUCUAAAUAAACAAGUGCUUUCCUCCAGAACGGUGGUUUGUUCAAGAUAAGGGUAACUGGUUUCACUCUCAGUAUUCACUGAACAUAUCUCCGAAUAAAACUGUUGUUACACUGACCUUAGUUUCUGUUUCUUAACGUUAAUCUCUUUAUUGGUAUUUUUAAUGGGAAAUAGAAAGUUGGCAAUCUGUUUCCAUUUUUUACUCCUCUGCAACUGGAAAAAAAGAAACUCAGGGGAGGUUUUUAAUAAUCUUGUCUUAACCUGUAUAAAUUCAAGUUUUUGCCACUUCUAUCAAAAAAUCAACGAUCUCCCUCUGUAUCUGUCUCAGAGCACUUUUUUCAAAAGAUGUUUACUAUGUGGCUAAGAAAUUGAUUUGGCUGGAGUCCAUAUUUAAGGGCAUCUGUCUCCCAAGAGAAAUACAGGCUGGAUAGUUUCCUGUUCUGUAUUUUAGCAUUGUUCUGUGAUCCAGCAGUCAGUGUAUUAUCCUGAGGCAUCUGUAUCCGGGGUUGCUUCUCUAUUCCACCGCAGGCUAUGUCUGCAUGGCUGUACACAUGAGGAUGUGCAUGUCUGCACUGCCAAGUAGCUGGAAAGAAGCAAUACCCCAUGGCAGCAGGGUGCUGGUUCAGCUUUCCCACUCAGGAAUGUGUCCCAGGAUCCUGUGCAGACCCCAGUGCAGGAACACCUGGCAGGUGAUACUGGGCUCCUACCCACAGGCCUGCCUGCAUGGGUGUUGCACUCACUCAUGGAAGAGCUCAGACAUUAGCUGUGAGAGUCAAAGUGCUCUCCUCUAAUUUAAAUCAUGCUGCUAGUGUUGGACAGGAAAGGAGAAGAAAGAGAGAAAGAGGAAACUGUUUUAUUAACCUUUUUCUUUUUUACUUUCAUGUAUUUAAAUAUUAAACAUGAAUAUUUAUUAGGAAAAUAAAAAACAAAGGAAAGAAGCAUUAUGGAACAGAAGAUGGAAAUUAAAUGAAAUUCAUAUAUCAUUCAACAGGGCCAUUUCUGAGAUGAAAAACACUAUUUGCUCCCCAUCACCACAGUUGUCCAAUUGAAACAGCAGGGGAACUCAUACUAUAUUAGGUGAAUAUGAUGUUAUACAGUACAAUUUGGGAUUUCAGUGAAGCAAAUAUGCAAAUAAAUGAUAUUGAUGUAUUCACUAGAAAUAAGAAUUAAUAAAUAAAGUCAGAACAUAACAAUAA